rnacentral:rRNA from 1 species
GACGUAGGGCGCGAGCGUUGUCCGGAUUUAUUGGGCGUAAAGCGCGUGUAGGCGGCUUUGCAAGUCGGGUGUGAAAGCCCUCGGCUCAACCGAGGAAGUGCGCCCGAAACUGCAGAGCUUGAGUACCGGAGAGGAUGGCGGAAUUCCCCAAGUAGAGGUGAAAUUCGUAGAUAUGGGGAGGAACACCGGUGGCGAAGGCGGCCAUCUGGACGGAUACUGACGCUGAGACGCGAAAGCGUGGGGAGCAAACAGG